rnacentral:rRNA from 1 species
CCAAUAGCGUAUAUUAAAGUUGUUGCAGUUAAAAAGCUCGUAGUUGAAUUUCGGGAUCAAUUAAUUGGUCGUGCCUCUGGUACGUACUGAUUUUAUUGGUUUCUCCCUUCUGAAGAACCAUGAUGUCAUUAAUUUGGUGUCGUGGAGAAUCAGGACUGUUACUUUGAAAAAAUUAGAGUGUUUAAAGCAAGCUAACGCUUGAAUACAUUAGCAUGGAAUAAUGAAAUAGGACGUUUGAUCCUAUUUUGUUGGUUUCUAGGAUCGACGUAAUGAUUAAUAGGGAUAGUUGGGGGCAUUAGUAUUCAAUUGUCAGAGGUGAAAUUCUUGGAUUUAUUGAAGACUAACUACUGCGAAAGCAUUUGCCAAGGAUGUUUUCAUUAAUCAAGAACGAAAGUUAGGGGAUCGAAGACGAUCAGAUACCGUCGUAGUCUUAACCAUAAACUAUGCCGACUAGGGAUCGGAUGAUGUUAAUUUUUUAAUGACUCAUUCGGCGCCUUAC